UACGAAGGGGGCUAGCGUUGUUCGGAAUUACUGGGCGUAAAGGGCUCGUAGGCGGUCUGUUGCGUCGGCUGUGAAAACCCGGGGCUCAACCCCGGGCCUGCAGCCGAUACGGGCAGACUAGAGUUCGGCAGGGGAGACUGGAAUUCCUGGUGUAGCGGUGAAAUGCGCAGAUAUCAGGAGGAACACCGAUGGCGAAGGCAGGUCACUGGGCCGCAACUGACGCUGAGGAGCGAAAGCAUGGGGAGCGAACAGG
rnacentral:rRNA from 1 species